GAUGAACGCUGGCGGCGUGCUUAACACAUGCAAGCCGAACGAAGCACUUUACUUGAUUUCUUCGGAAUGAUUGUUCUGUGACUGAGUGGCGGACGGGUGAGUAACGCGUGGGUAACCUGCCUCAUACAGGGGGAUAACAGUUGGAAACGACUGCUAAUACCGCACAAGCGCACAGUACCGCAUGAUACAGUGUGAAAAACUCCGGUGGUAUGAGAUGGGCCCGCGUCUGAUUAGCUAGUUGGUGGGGUAACGGCCUACCAAGGCGACGAUCAGUAGCCGACCUGAGAGGGUGACCGGCCACAUUGGGACUGAGACACGGCCCAA
rnacentral:rRNA from 1 species